CUCCGGUUGAUCUUGCCGGACCCGACUGCUAUCAGAGUGAGAUUGAGCCAUGUUAGUUAACGUAGCAAUACGUGGCGCACGGCUCAGUAACACGUAGUCAACAUGCCCAGAGGACGUGGAUAACCUCGGGAAACUGAGUCUAAACCGCGAUAAGUGAGGAUUUCUGGAAUGGUUCCUGACUAAAAUCUAUAUGGCCUCUGGAUUGGACUGCGGCCGAUCAGGCUGUUGGUGAGGUAAUGGCCCACCAAACCUGUAACCGGUACGGGCUCUGAGAGGAGGAGCCCGGAGAUGGGCACUGAGACAAGGGCCCAGGCCCUAUGGGGCGCAGCAGGCGCGAAACCUCUGCAAUAGGCGAAAGCCUGACAGGGUUACUCUGAGUGACUUUCGCUAAGAAAGUCUUUUGGCACCUCUAAAAAGGGUGCAGAAUAAGGGGUGGGCAAGUCUGGUGUCAGCCGCCGCGGUAAUACCAGCACCCCGAGUGGUCGGGACGAUUAUUGGGCCUAAAGCAUCCGUAGCCGGUUCUGCAAGUCCCCCGUUAAAUCCAGCUGCUCAACAGAUGGGCCGCGGAGGAUACUACAGAGCUAGGAGGCAGGAGAGGCAAGCGGUACUCAGUGGGUAGGGGUAAAAUCCGUUGAUCCAUUGAAGACCACCAGUGGCGAAGGCGGCUUGCCAGAACGCGCUCGACGGUGAGGGAUGAAAGCUGGGGGAGCAAACCGGAUUAGAUACCCGGGUAGUCCCAGCUGUAAACGAUGCAGACUCGGUGAUGAGUUGGCUUAUUGCUAACUCAGUGCCGCAGGGAAGCCGUUAAGUUUGCCGCCUGGGGCGUACGGUCGCAAGACUGAAACUUAAAGGAAUAGGCGGGGGAGCA
rnacentral:rRNA from 1 species